rnacentral:rRNA from 1 species
GAUGAACGCUGGCGGCGUGCCUAAUACAUGCAAGUCGAGCGAACGGACGAGAAGCUUGCUUCUCUGAUGUUAGCGGCGGACGGGUGAGUAACACGUGGAUAACCUACCUAUAAGACUGGGAUAACUUCGGGAAACCGGAGCUAAUACCGGAUAAUAUUUUGAACCGCAUGGUUCAAAAGUGAAAGACGGUCUUGCUGUCACUUAUAGAUGGAUCCGCGCUGCAUUAGCUAGUUGGUAAGGUAACGGCUUACCAAGGCAACGAUGCAUAGCCGACCUGAGAGGGGGAUAGGCCACACUGGAACUGAGACACGGUCCAGACUCCUACGGGAGGCAGCAGUAGGGAAUCUUCCGCAAUGGGCGAAAGCCUGACGGAGCAACGCCGCGUGAGUGAUGAAGGUCUUCGGAUCGUAAAACUCUGUUAUUAGGGAAGAACAUAUGUGUAAGUAACUGUGCACAUCUUGACGGUACCUAAUCAGAAAGCCACGGCUAACUACGUG